rnacentral:rRNA from 1 species
GCGAACGGGUGAGUAACACGUGGGCAAUCUGCCCUUCACUCUGGGACAAGCCCUGGAAACGGGGUCUAAUACCGGAUAACACUCUGUCCUGCAUGGGACGGGGUUGAAAGCUCCGGCGGUGAAGGAUGAGCCCGCGGCCUAUCAGCUUGUUGGUGGGGUAAUGGCCUACCAAGGCGACGACGGGUAGCCGGCCUGAGAGGGCGACCGGCCACACUGGGACUGAGACACGGCCCAGACUCCUACGGGAGGCAGCAGUGGGGAAUAUUGCACAAUGGGCGAAAGCCUGAUGCAGCGACGCCGCGUGAGGGAUGACGGCCUUCGGGUUGUAAACCUCUUUCAGCAGGGAAGAAGCGCAAGUGACGGUACCUGCAGAAGAAGCGCCGGCUAACUACGUGCCAGCAGCCGCGGUAAUACGUAGGGCGCAAGCGUUGUCCGGAAUUAUUGGGCGUAAAGAGCUCGUAGGCGGCUUGUCACGUCGGAUGUGAAAGCCCGGGGCUUAACCCCGGGUCUGCAUUCGAUACGGGCUAGCUAGAGUGUGGUAGGGGAGAUCGGAAUUCCUGGUGUAGCGGUGAAAUGCGCAGAUAUCAGGAGGAACACCGGUGGCGAAGGCGGAUCUCUGGGCCAUUACUGACGCUGAGGA